CGCGAACGGGUGAGUAACACGUGGGUAACCUGCCCCGAUGACCGGGACAACCCGAGGAAACUCGGGCUAAUACCGGAUGUGGCGCGCAUGACACAAGUCUGUUCGCUAAAGGAAGCUUCGGCCUCCGCAUUGGGAGGGGCCCUGCGGCCCAUUAGCUUGUUGGUGGGGUCGACGGCCUACCAAGGCAAGCGAUGGGUAGCUGGUCUGAGAGGACGACCAGCCGCAUUGGGCACUGAGCCACGCUACAAACUCCAUACGGGAGGCGAGUGGGAAUCUUGCGCAUGCGCGAAGCGUGACGCGCACGCCGGUGGGGGAGACGGCCUUCGGGUCGUCCCCUUCAGGGGGACGACGGUUCGCCGGUGAAUAGCCGUGCGGAUUGACGGUACCUCCAGAAGGAAGCUCCGGGCUAACUACGUGCCAGCAGCCGGGG
rnacentral:rRNA from 1 species